GGGGGCGAAACAGGAUCGACAAGGGUGUAAAGAUCGCUCUUUUACUCGGCAUGAUACCACCGUUAUCGGGUCAAUUGAGUAGUUGCAAAUGACAACAAAGCUCAGGGUUAUGCUCUCGCUGCCUAAUGGCGGUGCGGGAAACCCACUCUAAAGUCCUUAGGGUUAGCCCCUUAAGGCGGGGUUCGGAGGCACCUGGCAACAGAAGCCUCCACU
rnacentral:tmRNA from 3 species